GGAGGCAGCAGCAGGGAAUCUUGCGCAAUGCGCGAAAGCGUGACGCAGCAACGCCGCGUGGGGGAAGACGGCCUUCGGGUUGUAAACCCCUUUCAGUUGGGACGAAGGUCGGGCGGUUAAUAGCCGUUCCGACUGACGGUACCUUCACAAGAAGCCCCGGCUAACUACGUG
rnacentral:rRNA from 1 species